rnacentral:ncRNA from 2 species
UACGUAGGGGGCGAGCGUUGUCCGAAUUUACUGGGCGUAAAGGGCGCGUAGGCGGCCCCGUAAGUUCUCUGUGAAAUCUCCCGGCUUAACCGGGAGGGUGCGGGGAAUACUGCGGGGCUUGAGGGCAGCAGAGGAAAGCGGAAUUCCCGGUGUAGUGGUGAAAUGCGUAGAUAUCGGGAGGAACACCAGUGGCGAAGGCGGCUUUCUGGGCUGUUUCUGACGCUGAGGCGCGAAAGCGUGGGGAGCAAACCGG